rnacentral:tRNA from 1 species
CGGGCUGUGGCGCAGCUUGGUUUAGCGCGCUUGAAUGGGGUUCAAGAGGUCGCGGGUUCGAAUCCCGCCAGCCCGA